rnacentral:rRNA from 1 species
GGUUAAGCGACUAAGCGUACACGGUGGAUGCCCUGGCAGUCAGAGGCGAUGAAGGACGUGCUAAUCUGCGAUAAGCGUCGGUAAGGUGAUAUGAACCGUUAUAACCGGCGAUUUCCGAAUGGGGAAACCCAGUGUGAUUCGUCACACUAUCAUUAACUGAAUCCAUAGGUUAAUGAGGCGAACCGGGGGAACUGAAACAUCUAAGUACCCCGAGGAAAAGAAAUCAACCGAGAUUCCCCCAGUAGCGGCGAGCGAACGGGGAGCAGCCCAGAGCCUGAAUCAGUGUGUGUGUUAGUGGAAGCGUCUGGAAAGGCGCGCGAUACAGGGUGACAGCCCCGUACACAAAAAUGCACAUGCUGUGAGCUCGAUGAGUAGGGCGGGACACGUGGUAUCCUGUCUGAAUAUGGGGGGACCAUCCUCCAAGGCUAAAUACUCCUGACUGACCGAUAGUGAACCAGUACCGUGAGGGAAAGGCGAAAAGAACCCCGGCGAGGGGAGUGAAAAAGAACCUGAAACCGUGUACGUACAAGCAGUGGGAGCACAGAGCAAUCUGUGUGACUGCGUACCUUUUGUAUAAUGGGUCAGCGACUUAUAUUCUGUAGCAAGGUUAACCGAAUAGGGGAGCCGAAGGGAAACCGAGUCUUAACUGGGCGUUAAGUUGCAGGGUAUAGACCCGAAACCCGGUGAUCUAGCCAUGGGCAGGUUGAAGGUUGGGUAACACUAACUGGAGGACCGAACCGACUAAUGUUGAAAAAUUAGCGGAUGACUUGUGGCUGGGGGUGAAAGGCCAAUCAAACCGGGAGAUAGCUGGUUCUCCCCGAAAGCUAUUUAGGUAGCGCCUCGUGAAUUCAUCUCCGGGGGUAGAGCACUGUUUCGGCAAGGGGGUCAUCCCGACUUACCAACCCGAUGCAAACUGCGAAUACCGGAGAAUGUUAUCACGGGAGACACACGGCGGGUGCUAACGUCCGUCGUGAAGAGGGAAACAACCCAGACCGCCAGCUAAGGUCCCAAAGUCAUGGUUAAGUGGGAAACGAUGUGGGAAGGCCCAGACAGCCAGGAUGUUGGCUUAGAAGCAGCCAUCAUUUAAAGAAAGCGUAAUAGCUCACUGGUCGAGUCGGCCUGCGCGGAAGAUGUAACGGGGCUAAACCAUGCACCGAAGCUGCGGCAGCGAC